UNCAAGGUGCUGAAGCAGGUGCAUCCGGA
rnacentral:piRNA from 1 species